GAUGAACGCUGGCGGCGUGCCUAAUACAUGCAAGUCGAGCGAACGGACGAGAAGCUUGCUUCUCUGAUGUUAGCGGCGGACGGGUGAGUAACACGUGGAUAACCUACCUAUAAGACUGGGAUAACUUCGGGAAACCGGAGCUAAUACCGGAUAAUAUUUUGAACCGCAUGGUUCAAAAGUGAAAGACGGUCUUGCUGUCACUUAUAGAUGGAUCCGCGCUGCAUUAGCUAGUUGGUAAGGUAACGGCUUACCAAGGCAACGACGCAUAGCCGACCUGAGAGGGUGAUCGCCCACACUGAAACUGAGACACGGUCCAGACUCCUACGGGAGGCAGCAGUAGGGAAUCUUCCGCAAUGGGCGAAAGCCUGACGGAGCAACGCCGCGUGAGUGAUGAAGGUCUUCGGAUCGUAAAACUCUGUUAUUAGGGAAGAACAUAUGUGUAAGUAACUGUGCACAUCUUGACGGUACCUAAUCAGAAAGCCACGGCUAACUACGUG
rnacentral:rRNA from 1 species